AUAUCUUUCUGUACGGGAAGGAUGAGAAGCUUCGACUAAGGUUCGAUUCGAGCGCAGCGAGAAAGCGUUGCCGCAGGCAACGACCCGAAGGGC
rnacentral:sRNA from 1 species